rnacentral:lncRNA from 1 species
AUCAAUCAGAAAAAUUUGCGCAUGCGCAAUUUGAUAUGCUUCUGGAAUAUUCUGAAAUGUAUUAGAGAAAAUAGCUAAAAAAUAAUAAACGUUGAUUUUUAUUUUUAUUUUUACUAGCGCAUAACUGAUUAAUAAAAAAAUUUGUCUAUAUUUUCUUUGAAAUUUAAAAGUUGUCAACAAUAUAUUCAAAAUUAUUAUUAUCAGAAAAAUGAGCGUAUGCGCUGCAUGAUACAGUAAACAAAAGGCGUGGAAUUUGACAGUAAGGGAACUACUUUUUUGCAUUAUCUUAGCUUAUGAUAUUUUGUUUAUUUUUUUACUCUUUGAUUAUGGAGUUUACAUUAUUUGUAGCAUAAACACUAGUAAAAAUUCUUAAAAUAUAGGAUAUUUCGACUUGGACUGUAGAGGGGGAAAAACGGUCUAUAUUUUAAGUAUUGUUAAAUAAUUUUUCGAUAAAUUUUAUUCUAUGGUACACAAAAUACCAAAAUUUUUUAUUCAUAAUAUUUUAGCGGACGAAAAGUUUUUUUUUCAUUUUAAAUUAGCCAAGCAUUCUCCUAUUGGAACACACCAUGUAACUUCCAACAUUUCUGAAAUUAAUUUUUGUUCCCAAUCAUCGUUUCAUAAUUUAAUCAAAAUUAUUUUUUUGAUAAACAGGAAAGUAUUAUAAGUACUUUCUUAUAAUAUUGAAAGCAACGUGGGUAAUAAAAAAUGCAGCUAUUUUUAUAUCUACUGAAGCUUGAUUUUCAAUGAUGAUAUUCCUGAAAAUUAUAUUAUAAUGAUAUUAUUGAUAAUUCAAUAAUGAAACAAUUGUUCAUGUAAUUUAAGCAUGACAUUAGACCAGUGAUACCAAAGCAAGUCGACAAAUAUUUUGAUAAUUUGAAACAAAUGGAAUCAAAAUUAAAAAUAAUAAGCAUGAAAUUAGUUGUUGUUCUUUUUCCUCUGUGUAAUUUGAGUGAAAAAUUCUAUUUAUAUGCCACUCAUUUUUAAAACACUUUCUGAAAAAAAUAUAUUUUAUAAAUAAAAUUUGGUCCUCAAAUUAACAUUGCAGUUAAAUAUAAAAACCAGAUUAAUUGUUUAUCUCAAGUAAUUUGCUAGUGAAGAGUAAGAAUCAUUCUGUAGAAAUGUUUUUUUUCAUUAUUUAAAUUGUGAAAUUAAUUUAAAUUUUAUCACAACAGAAAGCAAAAUUUUUCAUAACAGCUACUUCAAAUACUUUCAAAUUUUCAUCGUAUUAUUUCUGUCUAUUUUAUAAGCAUCAUACGUGCUUGAAAAUGUUUUUAUUUUUUUAAUUUAUUUCUCCAUAUAUUUUCAGUAUAUAGAUUCAUUACUAUAUUUAGUAAAAAUAUCUUAUUAGGUAGAAUUUGUUUUAGAAUUAAGGUAAAAAUUCUUUUUUGUCAAGGAAUAUUAAAAACUAUUUUCAUUCUGAAAUGCUUUCUAACUUAGGAUUUUGAAUUGAACUUGCAGAUCUCAUUGUACUUUUUUCUUUGUAAUAGAGACCCUUGAUCCAUGUCCAAUUGUCAAGGGUUCAAUUGAAAACUUAGCGUUAACCUGUCAUAUUGCAAAAAUAGUUAUUCAGAAAAAAGAAAAGAUACAAGUAAAAUGAAUAUAGCUUUGAAAGUUAUCAUAAUAUAGUUAACUCCUUUUUGAUUUUCAGCCUUAUAUAGUAUAAUAUUCUUCUACACAUUCUGCAUAUUGCCAUUAGCUUACUUUUCCUAUGAAGAACAAGACUAAGACAAUAGACCUUCAAUGAGAGCAUGCACAACAGCUUUCUGAUACACUUUGGUAUUUCUCCUGGUUAUAUCUGGAUUGUUGAUUGCUGGCUAUGAAAAUGGCAUUUUGAAGCAUUUGGCAAAAUUAUAUUGUAUUAAAUACACUGUAACAUCAUACAACAACAGCAGUAGCAACACGCAUCAAGUAUUUUGUUGUAAAUGUACAUUUUUUAUUUUGAAAUGUUAAUACUUUUUGACUUUUCAAUAAAGUACUUUGUGGAGA